AACCCAUGCUGUGGACACUUCCUGAGUAGUCCCUUGAAUCUUUCCCAUGCUUCAUAAAGAGAUUAUGUCUCUUUCUGUUCAAAAGCAGAGAUAUUAGCCUUAAGCUU